AUUGAACGCUGGCGGCAGGCCUAACACAUGCAAGUCGAGCGGAUGACGGGAGCUUGCUCCUUGAUUCAGCGGCGGACGGGUGAGUAAUGCCUUGGAAUCUGCCUGGUAGUGGGGGACCACGUUUCGAAAGGAACGCUAUUACCGCAUACGUCCUACGGGAGAAAGCAGGAGACCUUCGGGCCUUGCGCUAUCAGAUGAGCCUAGGUCGGAUUAGCUAGUAGGUGAGGUAAUGGCUCACCUAGGCGACGAUCCGUAACUGGUCUGAGAGGAUGAUCAGUCACACUGGAACUGAGACACGGUCCAGACUCCUACGGGAGGCGGCAGUGGGGAAUAUUGGACAAUGGGCGAAAGCCUGAUCCAGCCAUGCCGCGUGUGUGAAGAAGGUCUUCGGAUUGUAAAGCACUUUAAGUUGGGAGGAAGGGCAGUAAGCUAAUACCUUGCUGUUUUGACGUUACCGACAGAAUAAGCACCGGCUAACUCUGUGCCAGCCGCCGCAGUAACAC
rnacentral:rRNA from 1 species